CCUACGGGAGGCAGCAGUGGGGAAUAUUGGACAAUGGGGGCAACCCUGAUCCAGCCAUGCCGCGUGUGUGAAGAAGGCCCUCGGGUUGUAAAGCACUUUCAGUGAGGAAGAACGCCUGGUGGUUAAUACCCAUCAGGAAAGACAUCACUCACAGAAGAAGCACCGGCUAACUCCGUGCCAGCAGCCGCGGUAAUACGGAGGGUGCGAGCGUUAAUCGGAAUUACUGGGCGUAAAGCGCGCGUAGGUGGCUUGAUAAGCCGGUUGUGAAAGCCCCGGGCUCAACCUGGGAACGGCAUCCGGAACUGUCAAGCUAGAGUGCAGGAGACGAAGGUAGAAUUCCCGGUGUAGCGGUGAAAUGCGUAGAGAUCGGGAGGAAUACCAGUGGCGAAGGCGGCCUUCUGGACUGACACUGACACUGAGGUGCGAAAGCGUGGGUAGCAAACAGGAUUAGAUACCCGUGUAGUC
rnacentral:rRNA from 1 species